CUGCUAUGGACAUUUAUGGCGCAGGUCCCUAAAGCGCUCCCAAGUCUCGAAAAAGAGUUCCCCAUCCAUCUGUGAGAAACUUGUGAUGACUUUUCUAAGCUG